rnacentral:rRNA from 1 species
GAUGAACGCUGGCGGCGUGCCUAAUACAUGCAAGUCGAGCGAACAGACGAGGAGCUUGCCCCUCUGACGUUAGCGGCGGACGGGUGAGUAACACGUGGAUAACCUACCUAUAAGACUGGGAUAACUUCGGGAAACCGGAGCUAAUACCGGAUAAUAUAUUGAACCGCAUGGUUCAAUAGUGAAAGACGGUUUUGCUGUCACUUAUAGAUGGAUCCGCGCCGCAUUAGCUAGUUGGUAAGGUAACGGCUUACCAAGGCAACGAUGCGUAGCCGACCUGAGAGGGUGAUCGGCCACACUGGGACUGAGACACGGUCCAGACUCCUACGGGAGGCAGCAGUAGGGAAUCUUCCGCAAUGGGCGAAAGCCUGACGGAGCAACGCCGCGUGAGUGAUGAAGGUCUUCGGAUCGUAAAACUCUGUUAUUAGGGAAGAACAAAUGUGUAAGUAACUAUGCACGUCUUGACGGUACCUAAUCAGAAAGCCACGGCUAACUACGUG